rnacentral:tRNA from 1 species
GGCGCCAUAGCUCAGUUGGUCAGAGCGGGGGACUCAUAAGCCCUAGGUCGUUGGUUCAAAUCCAACUGGCGCCACUA